UCACUGUGCAGUGCGUGGUUACUGCUCAGCCUGAGUUCGUUAGCCGGCAAAUGGUGAAGUUCGUAGCCGGGUUGAGCCGCGAGUCCAUUAUCGAUGUUCAAGGCCUCGUUUCUGUACCUUCUGUUCCCAUCAAAGGCACCACACAGCAGGUUGAAGUUCAAGUCAGGAAGCUCCAUUGUAUCAGCAAAGCCAUGCCAACUUUACCCAUUAACAUCGAGGAUGCAGCUAGAAGUGAGAAA
rnacentral:misc_RNA from 1 species